UACGUAGGGGGCAAGCGUUGUCCGGAUUUAUUGGGCGUAAAGCGCUCACAGGUGGUUCGUCGCGUCGUGCGUGAAAGACCCCGGCUCAACUGGGGAGUGUCGUGCGAUACGGGCGGACUGGAGGCCAGUAGGGGGAUGCGGAAUUCCGGGUGUAGUGGUGGAAUGCGUAGAGAUCCGGAGGAACACCAGCGGCGAAGGCGGCAUCCUGGACUGGUCCUGACACUCAGGAGCGAAAGCGUGGGGAGCGAGUCCGG
rnacentral:rRNA from 1 species